UCCGUAGGCGGUGUGGCAAGUCGGAAGUGAAAUCUCUGGGCUUAACUCAGAGGCUGCUUCCGAAACUGCCGUGCUAGAGUGCGAGAGAGGCAAGUGGAAUUGCGGGUGUAGCGGUGAAAUGCGUAGAUAUCCGCAGGAACAUCCGAGGCGAAAGCGGCUUGCUGGACCGCAGCUGACGCUGAGGGACGAAAGCUAGGGGAGCAAACAGGAUUAGAUACCCUGGUAGUCCUAGCCCUAAACCAUCAGGACUUGGGGUUUGCCCUGUACGGGGCAAGUCCCGUAGCUAACGCGUUAAGUCCUGCGCCUGGGGAGUACGGUCGCAAGGCUGAA
rnacentral:rRNA from 1 species